rnacentral:misc_RNA from 1 species
UUACCAUGAUGCUGGGCGAAUGGAUUCUUUUAAGUUUGUUUACUUAGAAAUUUCUGAUAAUCUAAAAGUAAAGCCAUGUCAGAAACUGCUGUUGCGUAUAGAAGAGGCAGGAAGUUCAAAUUAUUUGAAUUUGUCAGGUUUGGAGUUUACAAAUGAUGUUUGUAAAGCUAUUGGCCAAGCACUUGCCAAAGAUGUGCAUAUAAGAGAAUUGGAUUUCAGCAAUUGCAUGUUGCCAGAGGAAGGUUUGAUAUCCAUUUUAAUGGGGCUUGAAAAUAAUACAUUUCUAUUCAGCUUGAAUUUGAAAGGUAAUAAUAUUAGGCAUUCUGGAGUACAGGAAAUUGGAAAACUUCUUCGCCACAAUAACUAUUUACAGAAUUUAUAUUUAGAGUGGAAUGGAGUUGGAAUUUUUCCUGAAAAAUUUGCUGUCCUAUGUGAAGGUCUAAAUAUGAACAUGUCAUUAAAAACUAUAGAUUUGAAGAAUAACCAGUUGAAUCAUGUUUGUGCUCAGUCUGUUGCUGAUGUUAUUAUUAAGAAUUCUACCUUGCAAAAAAUAGAUCUCCGUUGGAAUAAUAUAGGUUUGAUUGGAGGAAGGGCUAUUUUAAAUGCCUUAUCCAAAAAUAAAACCGUUCUUGCUCUUGAUGUUUCUGGAAAUGACAUACCUAGUGAUGUUAUGAAGUCAAUAGAAAUGGCUGUUUCAAUAUCUGCUGAGAGGUAUAUUAUAAACAAUGAGAAAAUUGAAAGGACUAAGACACUAGCUUCAAAAUUACAGGAACUAGAAAAGGAAAAGGAUGGACAGCUUAAGUUGCUGAUGGAGCAGUUAGAGAGGAAGGAUCAAGAUGUGGCUCUUAAUCAAAGGUUGAAUUUAAUUAAAUUAAAUCAAUUCCAAGAAGCUUUAGUACAAAAGGAAGUUGAACUUCAAAAUGAAGUUGUAAAAUCUCAAGAGCUUCAAAGGAAACUAUCAAUCAAAAUAGAUGAAGUGAACAGUUUAGCUUUAGCUUUGAACGAAUUGGAAAUGAAAUCUAAAGAAAUGAAAGCUGAGCAUAGCAUAUUAAUUAAUAAAGAGAGAAAGAAUAAAGAAGAAAUGGAAAGAAAAUUGUUGGAAGAAAAUGGAUCAUUAAAAGAAGAAAAUUUGUUUCUUAAACAAAAAAUACAAGAUCUAAAAAAUAAUGAGAAUCACCUAGAAGAACAAAUUGUUAGGUUGAAAGCAACUGUAUCCAAGUUAGAAUCAGUUUUAAAAAUCAAUGAAAGUUCUUUUCAAGAACAACUAUCAUCAGCCAAUGAAAGGCAUGCAGAGAUUUUGAAGGAAAGAGAAUUCCUGAGAAAAAAGGAGAUGACUCGGAUGAGAGAAGAAUUUUUGGAAAUAGAAAAUACUUUGAAGCAAAAACUUGUGUUAUUAGACUUGAAGAAAGCUGAAUUAGAAAAAGAACUUGCUGAUAAAAAGUCACAGUUAAUAUUAGAAAAAGCACAAGCUGAUGAGAAACUUAAUGAAUUAGAAAAGAAAAUGAAAUCAGAUCAGGAGAACUUAAAAAUGCAAAUGGAUAAAAGAAUAAAUCUUCUUGAAAAUGUGAAACAAAAGCAGGAAGUAAAAGACUUUUACAAGAACAUUUACAAACAAUGUAUGAAUUAAAGAAAAGAACAACAACUCUUGACAUGGAACUGGCUGAAGAAAGUCAUAAAGUACAGCAUUUACAACAGUGCCUUGAAGCCAAAGAUGCUGAAAUGGAAGUUGCUAUAGCAAAGGUGAGAUUAGAGGUUAAAGAGCAGAUAGAAGACCUUAACAGAAUAAAGCUACUGCUUCAAGAAUCAUAUGAUGAAAAAGAAUUGCUUAA